UCAUACUCAUCAUAGAUAACAUAGUUCAAAAAAGAGAUGCAUAAUAGGGAAUAAAAUGACAGUCGUUUGAAGCCCUUUCAUCGGGCAACAAACACUAGAAGACUAAGCACAUUGAGAUUGAAGCCCUUGGACGGCUCAUAAGAGCACGGGAAAACCCAAAGGGACUUGCAAUUUCUUUGAAAACGACAAAAACAUCCCCUUGACUCGAUAACUUCUUAGAACUAACAAACAAGUAGAACUCGAUUAAGGAAAAUCACGGUCUCGAACAUCUAAUUAACUGUUUCUUGAGGCAGACAACUCUUUUGACACUUAGUACUAACACUAUCAAAACAUAAACUCAUCACCUAGCUGCAAAAUUAUAGCCAACUCAGGUACUUCUUGUUCGACAACAUCAGCCUCCAAAGGCGCAACAUUGCUCGCCUUUUCAUUAUUGUUUAGGCCAUUAAGUCUUAACAUUGUAGCCGACGCGGAUAUCAAAAGACAAAGACUCCUAAAUAAGGAAAAAAAGUGCAGAAGAAAUCUUAAAAGACAAAGACAAUCCUACAUAAAGAAAAGAAGUGCAGAAGACUCAUUAUAAGACAAAGACUCCUAAAUAAGGGAAACAAAUGCACAAGACUCCUUAUAAGGAAAGGAAAACUUUUUGAGGAAAAAGAAUUACUUACCUUGUAGGAUUAAACUAGGGUCUAAUCCACCCUUAUAAAAGGAUCAUCAAAGAGGAGAAACACAAUUUUUUGCAUAAUCAAAAAUCGAGAAUAUUUUGCAGCAAGAGCUCAUGCGGGUGAAAAGAGCAAGAUGGUAGAAGAAAAAAGAACUAGAGUUAGGUUUUCUUUCUAAAGCUUAGUUUGCAUAGUCUCAUCUUAGAAUUGUUGUUUAGGAAUAAUUGUUAUAAGUGUGAAAGAAUUUGUGAGAAUUGUAACACGAAGUGGGUUUGACCUCUUGGAAAGUAGAGAAAACGGUUAUAGUUAAUUGUUAGAAAGAAUUGUAACAAGAAGUAGGUUUAACUUCUCGGAGAGAAGAGUGCACAACUAUAGUUAGUUACACUCUGUUUGGAUCAUUGUUACCCAUUGUAUUGUAUUGUAUCGUUACCGUAUACCUACAAUGUUUGUUUUGAUUGUUACUUAAAAUGUAUUGUAUUGUAUCGUUAAAUUUCAUUGUUACGUAACAAUGAAAACCCCCAUUUUAUGGAACAACCGAUUUGGUGUGUUCCCGUUGUUACUUAAUUUCUUUUUCCAAUUAUAUCCUGGCAUAAUAUUUCAUAAUACUUUUUUACCCUUUACCCUAUAUUAUUUAAUUCUAGUCAAACCUCCUAUCCUAGAAUAAUUAAGGAUAUUUUAGUAAAUUUAUAAAUUACAAUACAAUAAGAUACAGUCAAACCAAAUAAUAAAAAUGGUAUUAAACAGCAACAAACAAUACAGUCUAGCCAAAUAUUAUAUCUACCAUACAAUACAGUACAAUAGAGUACAAUACAAUAUAGUAUAUUAUGAAACAAUGGGUAACAAUGAUCCAAACAGAGUGUUAGUGUGAGUAACAAGAAGUGGGGUUGGCUUCUUGUAGAGUAGAGUAUACAAUUAUAAUUAAUCGUGGAACAGUUUGAGUAAAUUGUUGAGGUGAGGCACUAGAGUUGGUCCAUUUGAUUAUAUAGUAGUAAUCUAAAGUUUUUAUUUGAAGUUAGUGAAGUUUGGUGAAAUCCUAUGAGGUGUAGGUCGUGGUUUUUCUUCCCUAGACAAUGGAGGUUUUCCACGAUAGAUCUAUGUUCCGUUUUGUUACUAUUUCUUUCUAGUCAGUGUUAUCAAAGGCGUGCUUAAUCCCUGAAGCGAGGCUCAAAACGUGUUGAACAUUUUACCUCGCUUUAUGUGGGCUCCAGUGUCGUCAUCAAGGUUCUCAGACAAAUGUUUCCUUGCCAAGUAGCCUCUUAUGAAGAAGUGACACUAAAUAAUUGAUAUUUCACUUUAUCAUUAAAAAAAAAAUCAAUUUCUUUGGUGAUAUAUUUGUCAUACAUGUUUAUAAUUAUAAGUGUUGAACAAAAUCUGUAUAUUUGUAUUCUUUUCUCCCUUUUCACCUUUUUUCAUUAAAGUCCACGUUUUAUUUGCCCCACGGACCUUAGAGCUUUUUUACACUUUUCGGCUUUGAUAACACUGGUUUUAGUAAUCCAACAUGAACCUGGUUAUUGUUUAGGUUUCUACACAUUGUUCAUCUUCAAGGCAUUCUUUAGCCUGGAGUAGACACCUUGAUAGAAAAUAGAAUUAGUUCCACUUUACUGCAGCUCUCUGUCCUGAAGACUGAACCAUCGCCUUUAAUUCUUCGUCUUGCUAUUGUGUACAUCUCUUUAAAGAGAGUGGAUUUAUAAUCUCUUCACUUUGUUUGGGAUUGACGUGUAGUUGAUUGAUUGAUAUAUUUACUUGUCUAGUGUGAUACCGAUACUCGAUGGGAAAUGGAACUUAGAUCACGAUGUGAACUUACUUAUGAGUGGAAUUUCGUUGACAAAGUUUGCGGGCAGUUAUACUAGCUUGCCACAUGUUCAUAGAGCUAAUGAGACCGAUCAUGUUGCGACUGUACUUUCCACCUGGCGAUAACUGAACUGCUGGAGGACAUUGCCCUGGAAGAUAAAAACACUAUUGCGGUGACUCUAGCUCCAAAGAAAGGUGGAGACAUGUAUGUCCAUUGGAGGUGUGCAAUGCUCUUUAACUUGGUCUCAAUUGACAUUUAUGUCUCUAUCUUUAGAUGUGCAUAACUAGACACUUAAAACUCGUAUAAAAUUGAACAAAUAUACACAUUCGUCCUAUGUGGCGUCCUACUUCGCAAUUUUGUGUCCUAUAUGGUGUCCUACGUGUAUUAUGGCACGUAGGACACGUGUAUCUACUUGUUCAGUUUUAUACAAGUUUAAGUGCUUAGCUUACUUGUGCACACCCAAAGUUAAAGAUCAUAGUUACCGACUGAAACCAAGUAAGGUCAUAUAAACUAACUUUAAACUUUCCUUGAAAAAGAACAAAGACUUGGAAUGAUUUGUUAGACAAAAACAGUAUAAUUCUUGACUUGUAACAUUAAAAUCUGGAAGAGUUAAAUUGGAAAUUGAAUGGAACUUCACAAUAAAAAUUGGGCCAUAUUAUGACAGUCCUCUGUUUACAAUCAAAUAGAGUAACAAUACAAAUAUAAUAGUAUAACACACAAAUAAUUAAAUAGUGAGCAAUUGAUAAUCAUAGUAAAUUUGUUAUUACUCUCAAGUAAAGAGAUUAAAAGUGCACAUUUCAAUUAAUUGAAAGAUCAAAUGUGGUUAGACAUUACAAGCACUAAAUUCAGAAAUAAUAACAAUGUAAUUCCACAAGUAAGGUUUAGAGACGAUGAUGUUGUGUACCGCAACUCUUCUGGUGAAGGAACUGAACAAAUUUUGAACUGAACUCUGACGGAAUUCGGACAGGACGGUAACUUCUAUUAAGCCACACUGCUAUUCCUCUUGCCUCCAAUAUAGGCUGUGAAAAUUUUAAGAAAAUACAGUAAGAUUUGACGAGUAUAAAGUGACUCUUUGUAAUUGAAUGAUAAUAGAGGUAACUGACCUCUUGAUCUGGAAGCUUGAAGAUGAAAUGCUCGAAAAAUAAUCGAGCUGCUGUAGAGCGGGAUAAUCGCACCUUCACCACGAAUCUAUCUCCACUCUGAACAAAGCAAUACUCCAAAUUCGACUAAGGUAAAAACUAUAUUCAAUUGACAAAACUACCAAAUACAUGAUGAAAUUGGCCAUACCCUUAGUGGUGCUAGAAACUUAAAUGAGAGCUCUGUUACUGCUAAUGCAUCGCCAUUUCGCGCUACUUCAUCAACACUUACGCCAAUCUUUUCUAGAAACUCAUGACGGCCUGUUUCAUUUAUUGAAAAAUAAGUCUUACUUAAGUUCAAAUAUUGUCAUAUGUGUACGAUCGAUUAUCGAAACAGUAAACCUUACAAUGUUGACAAUAACUUGCAUAAGUAGCGUUGUUUACAACACCAAACUGAUCCAAUUCAUAGUCCCUGACUUUGAGUUCAACUUCAUGGAGAUAAAGCUGAUCACUCAUUCUGCAAAGUUCACAGAUAAAUGUAAACUCAUACCAAUAGAAAAAAAAAUGAAAUUAUAAGAGGUUUUUGUUCUUUUUUUAAUAUUGUGUUACGUUGUUUUAUUAGUUGGUACUUAUUUCAAAAGGUAACGAAAAAUUUUGUGUACUGCCACUGAAUAAUACAUACCCUUGGGUAGCUUUGAGAUCGAAUGCAUUAUGAGCUUCAAAACUCCUCGAUUUACGGGCCGAUAACUGUAAAUUUGGGAGCGGGAGUUGCCGGUGAGGGAUGACCGGAAAUGUAGACGGUGGUGACCGAUGAUGAUUCAGCAACACUAGGUUGGGUGCAAUGCUAAACGAAUGAGACAUUUGAUGAAAAAUUUCAGAGAUAGAAGAGAAUUGGGAAAUCUGUUGUCUAAGUAUACGUAGAUUUUAGGCGUUAAUGUUUAUGCUCAAAAGUCUUAUUUAGGUAAUAAUAAUGCUAGGACAGGUGUAUAGGGGUGCCAAAUAAAUGAACGAUUAAGAUUUAGACAUUGAAACAAAUCAUGUUAAUAAUGAGAUUUGAAUGAUUAAAAUUAAAAAAUUUAUUAACAGCAAACAAAUAAGGCGUAAGACAGAUGAAUAAAUAAAUGAGAAAAUAUUUAAUUUUGUUUAAAGUUUAUUUGAAUUAAAAUGGAUUAAAUAAUGGAUCGUAACUCAAUCUAUUUAACUUGACUCAAAUUUUCUAACCCAAUUAAAAAAAAUUCAUAGAAACAACAACACGUACAAUCAAUCUACGAACAUCAAGGUGAAGAGAUGUCCUUUUUUGCUUGUCUUGAUUCAUCAUAGCAGAGAAUGAAAUACAAAUAACAUGUUUGUGGAUUGUUCUAUGAAAGAGAUGUUUAUUACAACAGCUAUUAAUUUCAAUUUUAUUAGCAAACGAAUCCAAUUUUAUUCCAAUUGUAUAAUUGUUGAUUGUGUGUAGGUAAAGUAUUGAGUAUUCAUUCGAUAAAUAGUUAUGUACAUUUAAAUUUAGGCCUAACCCAUCGGUGGCCCCCUAAAUUUGGCACGAUCUUUCACUUAGACACCUUAACUAGGCUUUGUUCAUUUUAGACACCUCAUGUCACGCCCAACUGUGUCAAUUUGACACUUUUUCGAUAAUCUGCCAAAUUUGUAAGGUGUGUGUAACACACUCGCUGAUGACGUGUCAAAGUGACGAAUUAAAUAAAGACACGUGGCAUAUAUAUAUAUAUAUAUAUAUAUAUAUAUCACCCCCACCUCAAACCCCAACCCCUCUCUCUCACUCAGGUUUUCUUCUCCAUCCACCACAACCCCCGACCCUCCCCCACCCAAAUGUGUCGAAAGAAGAAGCUUUUUUUUAUUUAUUUUUGUCACUUUGUGAAUGUUGUGGGAUAAGAACGGCUUUCUUCUAAUAGAUUGAUGUUUGAAUGCUUGAUUUGGUGAAUGUGGUAAUGCAUUUGCUUGACCUUUUUGGGUUUUUUUUUUUUUGUUUCUUUUCUGCUGGAUUUCUGGGUCAAUGCAAGUCAAAAUUGGUUUUUGGUACUAUAUAUAUGGAGAUCCCAAACUUUCUACUAAAAAUUAUAUAGCUUAUCUAUUUGAUUUGGACUUUUUCUGUGAUUAUGAUGUGAGAAGGCAUACAAAUGGAUUGGAACGCUAAAAUUGUUUGUUGUGAAUGUAGGAUUUGAUAAUUGAAAAUAUGAUUCUUGCCAUUUCUGAGUGUUUUUUCUUCUUGAAAUUUAUGUUGAUUUUCUCAAAUUAUUUGAGAGGAAGAAGGAUAACAAAUAAGUGAAAGUAUUUAAGCUUAAAAUUUAUGGGCGCUAGAAUUCACUUUUUGUUUGUGACAUCGUCAAAUUUAUUUCAUCAUGGAAAGAGUUUAAGCUUGGAAAAUGGUAGCCAAAAAAAUGGGGGAAGAAGAAGAAGAAAAAAAAAAUUAAAAUUUAGGUAAAAUGAGGCUCUCACGUGCGUCUAGUGAGUGUAUCACACUUGCUAUGCCAUCUCAGCAAAAAGUGUCAAAUUGACACAAUUGGACGUGACAGGAGGUGUUUAAAAUGAAUAAAACCUAGUUAAGGUGUCUAAGUGAAAGAUCGUGCCAAAUUUAGGGGGCCAUCGAUGGGUUAGGCCUUAAAUUUAUGAUAAGAGUUGGAAUGUAUACAUAUUCAAGUAUGCAUUAAAAUAUGACUAGCUAUGUAUAUUAACUCGCUUAGAAAUUGUAUACAUUGAUUGAUUGAUUGAUUUUUGUCACGAAUGUACGGACAAUCAUGUCACAUUGUCAAUUGUGUAUGCAUAAAAGUAAUACAUAUAUUGGACCUUAAACUUGGCUUCAAAUUUUAACUUUGACCUCCAACUUUCAUAGUGCACAAACAGACACUUUAACUAUCCAACCUUUUAAUAAAUAAACACGUGUGUCUUACCUGGCAAAACGCGUGAUGUGCACGUAUUUUGCGCGAGUAGGAGUAAUUUUUGAGGCCUACAACAGUAAAAAAAAUGCUGAAAUGACAACUCUACCCUUAAUUAAUAUUUUUUUUUUAGUUCUAAAAUGGACGUGUAAAGUAUUUAAUUAGUUGGCAGCCAUUGAGUGGCUCACUAAUACACGUGGCAGCGUUUGCAUUUCACGCUCUUGGCUCCAAAAAUCGCGUGUUAUUUAUUAAAAGGUUGGAUAGUUAAAGUGUUUGUUUGUGCACUAUGAAAGUUGGAGGUCAAAGUUAAAAUUUGAAGCCAAGUUUAAGGUCCAAUAUAUGUAUUAUCCCAAGUAUUAAAUAUGCAUGCAUUAAAAUAAGUAUACAUAUUCAUGUAUGCAUUCGACUUUACAUUCAUUUAGAAUUGGCUUAAGUCAUUCGCGAUCCCUUAAAGUUGUCCGCAUAUUUCCUUUAGACACCUUAACUAGGACUAUUACCUAUUGAACACUUAAAUUGUUUAAAAAAUGUACCUAUUAAACACAAAAUACUGAUAUGGCAAAAGAAGUGUUUUUCACUUCUUGGGCGCGUGAAUUUUUUUGAAAUAAUGUUUUAUUUUUAUUUUUUCCAAAAUAACUUACACUUUUUCUUCUUUAAUUGACACUUGGCAUUAAACAAAAUUAAAAUAUUUUUUUAAUAUUUUUAAAAAUAAUAAUUCUUAAUCCAAAAAAGAAAGAGCACCCUCACCCGUUCAAGUCAUCUUCUUCACCAACUUUAAAUUUUCAAAGACAACUAAAGAAUCUCCAUUUUUUUUUUUUUUUUUUUCAUUUCUAUUUCUUUUCAAUAAUUAUUAAAAAAAAACUGAAUCAACUAACUGAAUUUGCAAGAAAAAUAAAGAAAGCAGAUUUGUGAACAUCUGGAUAAAAAAGUUAGUCGACGCUCCAUCUUCAUUUUCAGCCACAUUCGAAUAAAUAUCUCCAUUCAAAUUAAAUUGUAAACCCACUAAACUUAUCAAAAACAAUAUCAGAUAAUUCGAUAAAAUUAAUUUACGUCUUCUUGAUUUCUCCUUGCAAUCGAUUUCAAGAUGAUUAACCAUUGGCAAACUCUCUUUCUUCAUCACUCUUAUGAAAAAUAAUUUUCAAUAAAAUUAAUUUGGGUCCUCUCGAUUUUUCUUUGCAAUCGAUUUCGGGAUGAGUAACCAUUGACAAACUUUUUCAUUACUAUUGUAUUAGUAUCUUUGAAUAUAUUUCUCUCACGCAUUAGGAAUAAAAAAAAUUGAAUAUGCAAGUAAUUUGCAGUGAAAUUGGUUUAUGUGGUUUGAGAAAAAAAAUUGAUGGGAAGAAGAUGAAGAAGAAAGGGGGUUGGGUAGGGUGGGGUUGAGUAAAAUGUGUUGUCAUUUCAUUUAUUUUUUAAUUAAAAAAUAGAUAUAAAAUUAAUUUGAAAUAAUUUUCAUUAUUUUUAACAUAAAAAUAAAUUAUAUAGUUGUUGGCAGUGACACGUGUCAUCUUUUAAUUAGUCAUUUUUGUUCCAUCAUAGCAAGUGUAUCACAAACAUUUUAUUUUUUUUACUAAUUAUCGAAAAAGGUCUAAUAAGAACAGGUUUUGGAUAGAUAAAAGUGUUUAAUACGUACUAGUUUUAAUUGAUGUGUCUAAGUGAAUUAUGUGGACAACUUUAAAGGUCACAGAUGACUUAAGCUUUUAAAAUUUGUAUUUUUUAAAUUAAUAGAUUGUUGCACUAAUGCAUGAAAAAUCAUGUAUAUACUUAUUAAUUUUAUUUGUACAAACCUUCAAUUCCAAAAAUCAAAGACCUUUAAUUCCCUUUUAUGAUGACGACGUAAGAUUUUUAGAAUAUGAAGUAAAUAUAAGCUAUUACCAUGAGAAAAUAAUGGUUUUGCAUCAAUAUAUACCGAGUGAAUUCAAAUGUAGAUGGGAAAAAUAGGCAAAAAAGAAAUCAGAACCUAAAUUUUCACCCAAAAAGAACUGAAAACCCCUAAUUCAACAAAUGACAAAAUUCUUGAUUUAAUGGGCAAGAGAAGUUGCUAGAUUAUGUAUGAAAGAUGAAUUUAAAUUUGAACUACUAUGUAAUAUUUAAGAAAGAAAAAGAGAAAAAGGAGAUAAAUAAAUUACAGAUCAUGGCCCCCGUUUUAGUUUAGGCCUAAUUUCCCUCCAACCCUCUUUAGUUUAGGCCUUAUUCCUAUAUUAAAACUAAUAGUAGUGAAUGUUGUAUGUUUCAUCUACAUUUUCGUAAUAGUACAUCCAUUCUCUCAUAAUCGUGAAUACCACGAACCUCUGAAGUACCUCUAUCAAGAAAAUACAGGACCAAAGUGCACUUCCAAUGAUCAACAAAAUAUUGGUCCACCAUAUAUAGCACCUAACAAACUUCAAGAGCCACCACUCAAUUGAAAAGUCAAAAGCACAAGAUUUGCAGAUUUCAGUAUCAAAUUAAAUUUUAUUGAUUAUGAUGGUGUGGGAGGAUUUAGUACACUUUCAUUAGCACACCAGAGCACGAUCACAAUAUCAAAAAUGAUUUUUAACGUUAAUUAAUCAACGAUAAUUAGCAUUUUUUAUAAAUGUUUCUGAAGCCUAUAGCAACAUUGGAUUCAAUGGCGUCAAUUAACUAAUAUCAAUAAAAGAUUUUAACACUCUUUAUUAAUAUUAUAUAUUUACUCUGUUAGCAUCAAGAAUUAGUUCAUUGUUUAAAUAACAAAAAUACAUAAAAAUCAGAAGAUGAAGUGACUGACCUGGUCCCAUUUGGAAUUAAAGAAUUUGGCAUUUGUAACAUUCAAUCACAGCCACAACGGCAUAGUCAGCUACAAGCUAGGGCAUCCAAUAGAUAAUAUACAAAUUUCAAUCACUAGGAAAAAGAAUAGACAAGACAGAAAUUUCAUGUCAUCCUUUUUUUCGAUUGAUAUCAUGUAUACUUGCUUUAGCGUUUGAUUAAUUAAAAUUCAUGCCUCUAAAGCAAAGGGGGAUCCACGUUUGAGGGAAUGGGUGCACGUGUAUUUAUUAACUUAUGUAUAUAAACAUGUAUAUAAUCUUGGAUUCGUCUCUGCCCCUAUCAUAAAUGAUUCUAUUCCAGAGCAGAAGCGAUAUUUUUUUUAGACUAACUAAAAAAAAGUGUGUCACGUGAAUCGAAGCAUGAUAGUACUAAAUUACUAUUGCAAUCUAGUUUGGACACUUGCUCUUAUAACGAAAUCGACCUUUUUCUAGUUGAAGGAGAUGCUUUUACCAUUUUGUUUUCAAGGACAACAAGUGGCCUAUGUUCUAUAUUGAUAGAGACUGUCAGCAUGGAACUAGCUCUCUAAGUUUCCAAAAGCCAUGAACCCUCCAUCAAAUAUUUCAUAGUGACAUUAUAUUUCUUUUUUAUGAUUGUGGUCUUCGGGCCAAAUUUCUCGCACCUCGAUUAAUUCCAUGAGAUAUAUGUCACCUCCUACUAGCAAUUGGUAUCAUGUAACUAUGUCCAUCAAGACUAGGAUAGAUGAAAAGAAUCACCUAGUUUUUUUGUCUCCGCUGGAAAUUAAAUUCUAGACCUCAUGGUUUUCAACCAUUUCAUUGAUUACUAGGUAUUUUCACUUUAUUUCUUCAUAUAAAAUUUUGAAACCAUGUGAAAAUCUCUAUCAGCAACAAUCUAUCUACCUUUAUAAAGGUUGGAGUAAGGUUGCAUAUACACCACCUUCACAUUAGACUUCACUUGUAAAAUUUUACUAGGUAUGUUGUUACAAAUAUUAUGACAUGUUUAAUAUCACGAAUUCUACAAUCACACAAUUAUUCUAACAUAUUUAAAACCACAAAUCUUUCUAAUAUUUUGAACUUUAGUUUUGAAUUAAACUAGGUGAUAUAAAUAGAGUGACAUCUUGCAACCACCUUUGGUUCUUGCUAUCCUAUUCAAGAUCAGAACACACAAAUUGUCAAAAAUGGUGUUCUGGAUUUUAGCACACUACACUAGUACCCUAAAGCUUAGUCCUUAUGGAAGCUCAUAGCAUAAAGAGCAAAAGUAUAUUCAGAAUAUUAGGCAUGUGUAGCUUUCCAAUUUCAACCAUACUUUUUUCUGCACCAAAACACUAAAUCCACUUGCACAUUAAUUACAUAUUCAGUAUAAUAGUAUAAUAUCAUAAGUGAGGUCUGAAACCUUAUAUCUACCUUUAUAGGUUAAAGGUUGUUUCCGAUAGACAUUCAGCUCAAGAAAAUCAUUUUCCAUAACAUGAUUUGAAAAUAAAAAUGUUACGAGUUCACUAACUUACAACAACAUACUCAGUAUAAUCUCAUAGAGGAGCCUGGAAUCUUAUCCCAACCUUUAUAAAGUAGAGAGGUGAUUUCCGAUAGACAUUCAGCAACCUUAUCGCUACCUUUAUAGAGUAAAGGUUGUUUCCGAUAGACAUUCAGCUCAACAAAAUCACUUUCCAUAACAUGAUUUGAAAAAAAUGUUACGAGUUCACUAACUUACAACAACAAAUCCGGUAAAAUCUCAUAAAUGGAGUCUGGAACCUUAUCCCUACCUUUAUGAGGUAGAGAGGUUGUUUCCGAUAGACAUUCAGCUCAAGAAAAUCAUUUUUCAGAAAUGAUUUGAAAGAAAUGUUUUGAAUCCACUAACUUAUGAGACAAAAAGAAGUGGUUAACACAACUAGUGUAUACUAGGCCAAGAAAGCAUCAAACAGAUAAAUUUACUAUGGGAAUCAAUAAGGAGAAGUAUAGACAAAACUAAAGAGUUGUCUUAAAAAGGUCUUUGAGAGAUAUCAUAUCAUACUCAUCAUAGAUAUCAUAGUUCAAAAAAAGAUGCAUAAUAGGGAAUAAAAUGACAGCCGUUUGAAGCCCUUUCAUCAGGCAACAAACACUCGAAGACUAAGCACAUUGAGAUUGAAGCCCUUUGGACGGCUCAUAAGAGCACGGGAACACCCAAAGGGACUCGCAAUUUCUUUGAAAACGACAAAAACAUCCCCUUGACUCGAUAACUUCUUAGAACUAACAAACAAGUAGAACUCGAUUAAGGAAAAUCACGGUCUCGAGCAUCUAAUUAACUGAUUCUUGAGACAGACAACUCUUUUGACGCUUAGUACUAAUACUACCAAAACAUAAACUCAUCACCUAGCUGCAAAAUUACGGGCAUGCUAUAUUGAGGGGCGUUCCAUUCGUCCGUGGAGCAUCAUCCAUCCAAGAAAAGGAUUCAUUGUAGCCAUCAAAAUUGAAGUCAUCAAAAUCAGGUAAACCAGUAGGCAACUGCUCAUCACCCUCGAUCAGACAAACCGGAGGGUCCUCAAAAUCAUUGACAACAAACUCAUCCAAAUGCUGAUUGAAAUCAUCAGCGCCAAUGAGGAACGACUCGAGCUCCAAAUCAAGGUCCAUACUUUCACCAAUUUGAGACAGAGGUAGAGUUUCCUCCAGUAUAGGCAACUCAGGUACUUCUUGUUCGACAACAUAAGCCUCCAAAGGCGCAACAUUGCUCGCCUUUUCAUUAUCGUUUAGGCCAUUAAGUCUUAAAAUUGGAGCAGACGCGGAUACAGAAGUUAAAGUGUCCAAUUCAAGAACUGAUGAUGAUGACAAGGAGUGUGAAGUACGUGAUACCGAGCUUUCUGCAUAGUCCUCUGAGACACCACUAGCAACAUUUUGGC
rnacentral:lncRNA from 1 species